ensembl:lncRNA
AAGAGUUUAUUCUCUCAUUAUUGGCUCGAAUACUUGUGAAGCCUCAACUCUCUAUAUGCAUGUCAGCCUGAUAUACCUGAAGUUAAGGUCUGCUCUUAGGUGAACCAACAUACUAUUUGUAACAUAGUCAGAAACCAUUCUGCCUUCAGAUGAUGCCAGGGUGCCCAGCUUUUACUGUGACAUUCAUUGUGCCUGGCUAGAGUCUAUAAGAAAACUGGUUAAUGUGAUGCCAUUAGACUGCUUCGUGUCGCCUCCAGACUUUGCUGUGUUCUCAAAACUGCCUAGAAGAAAUGUUCCAUGCCAAGGCUCAGCAAAGAUGAGAUCGCUCCUUCUCCUGGUCAGCUGCCUGCCCAAGAUGGACUCUGCAGACUAGAUGGGGGGGGGGACUGUAUUUGGCAUAUAUUUUGACUUUAGAACCCAAAUGAAUGCAAAUGUGCCUAUAGCUUGGGUUAAUUUCAUUUCCUGGUUGCUGUUUGUUUUCAGUCUUAUGUUUUCUUUCUCCUUUCAUUUUUUUCUCUUCUCAAGUUCCUUGAGAAGACUUCAAGAGUAAAACAAGAUUUUGCAUUUAUUUCGCAACAUUGCCAAAGCAAAAAAAAAAAAAAAAAAAAAAAAAAAAGCUGAAAUAAAUCUUCCUUCAAGAUCUGAGGUACAAAACAUGAAAUCUUGAUUCACUAAUCCAUGAAAACCUGAAUUCUAACUGUAGAAAGUAUAAGAUCUGAACCUUUCAUUUUAUACCUGUGUCUAGUUAGUUUGUCUUUAUCAAUUCAGCACACACAGUAUCAACCCUGUGCCAGACAUUGAAGUAGAUACAGAUGUAAAUCUUCCACUACUUUAUAUUAGUAAUGUUUCAUUGCAUUGAAACAGAGAAGGAAGACUCUUGUUUUAAGGGCUCUAAAGCAAGUGUGGCCUGUUCUGAGGCAUUAGCCUGUAGCCAUCUCUUCAGCAGAACUGUGCAUCUGUGUAGAGGGUAUGUACAAAUAGAUGCUCACCACAGUGUUGAUACCCAGCCAGCAGUAGAGAGGACCUGCUAAAUUCGACAUAGAAUGUCUGUACUAUGUACUCUGUCACGUAACUGUUAGAAAGAAUGAGCCCAUGCUGCAGUGCAAUAAUAUGAAUUACCUAUAAGACAUCUAAAGUAAAGACUGAGAGAGUGGGGGGAGCUCAGUGGUGUGGCACUUGCUUGCCCAGCAUGCAUGAUGUCUUGAAUUAGAUCCCCCCACUCCACUGCCAAAAGCAAAUAAAUGGAAAAGCAAAGUGUUUAAUAAUACCUAGCAUGUUAUAGUGCUGUUUGGAUUGUAUAAUAACUGAGGUCUGGAAACCCUUUUUUCUAAGUCUGUCUGUUGCGUUACCUCUGAGAGGAAUUGGGGCUAUGGGGAAUAGUCAGAAGGAAUUCGGCUUUUGUAUUUUGUAUAUUCUUUUUAUAAUAAACAUGCACUCAUUUUGAAACUUUUUAUUACAGUUGUUAAUUUCAAAACAAGACACACAAAAGAACAACAUAUACCAUAUUGCAAGCCUUCUAUACAUGUAUUUUGUUGUAGCCUCCUUUUUGUAGCUGCACCUCCAGGGGUGCUUCCAAAUCUUAGCACCAGGGGAGGAAGUCCAGGAAGGGCCUUGCCUUCUGCCUAGGCUGCCUUCAUCACCCCAUGGAGUACCUCUCUCCAUCCAAAAGUAUGGCUUGCACUCAACUUCUCCCUGGGACUCAGGUGGUUGAUAGUUUUGAAAGAAUUUGUUGAGAAAAAUAAUUGAAUCAUUAUAGUUGCAAAGAUAAGGUGGUCCUUAG